rnacentral:rRNA from 1 species
AUUGAACGCUGGCGGCAGGCCUAACACAUGCAAGUCGAACGAGUGGCGGACGGGUGAGUAAUGUCUGGGAAACUGCCUGAUGGAGGGGGAUAACUACUGGAAACGGUAGCUAAUACCGCAUACCAUCAGAUGUGCCCAGAUGGGGUUAGCUUGUUGGUGGGGUAACGGCUCACCAAGGCGACGAUCCCUAGCUGGUCUGGGAGGAUGACCAGCCACACUGGAAAUGGAACACGGUCCAGACUCCGACGGGAGGCAGCAGUGGGGAAUAAUGCACAAUGGGCCCAAGGCCGGUUGCGCCCAGCCGCGUGUAUGAAGGAGGCCUUCGGGUUGGAAAGGUCUUUCCGCGGGGAGGCGUUACCCGCAGAAGAAGCACCGGCUAACUCCGUGCCAGCAGCCGCGGUAAUUC